rnacentral:lncRNA from 1 species
AAAAAAAAGCAUUCAGUUCGACGGAUCAUUCAGUUACGGUACGAUUCUUGAGCGAAUCGUUCAGACGAUAUCUCGUUUUGUGAGCGGCUUCAACCGAUUCAUUGAAAAGAUCCGAGUCAGUAAGGUGAUACACUCACGAUUCGGACAUCGCUAACACAAACUGGAAGCAGUUUGUUCAGUUCAACGUUGUUCGGCAUUAUCAGUUAUGGAUGUCACAGGUACUGAUAGUGAUUGGAGGAGCACAGCCUUUCGACAGAAAGUAGUGGCCCAAAUUGAUGAAGCCAUGAGAAAAGCAGGAACUGCUCACACAAAGUCCAGUACUGACAUGGAAAACCAUGUUUUUAUCAAGGCAAAGACCAGAGUAAGUAUUACUUUUAAAUGUGCAUGCUACACUCUCAACAGAACAGAUUUGUUAGUAUGCGAUUGUUAAAAGUGCAAUAAAUAUACUAUCCUUUUUUUGAACAGGAGGAGUAUUUGUCUUUAGUUGCGAGACUGAUAAUUCAUUUUAGAGACAUUCGUAAGUAGCCAAUAUACUAUGUUUUCAUUGUUAACAUUUUUUCUUUUAGCUGUGAUGUUUGUAUGUUUACUGUAUAUUGAUCAGUUUAUUUUUCAUUGCAGAUAAAAAGUCACAAGGUGGGCCUGGUAAAUUUAAAGAGCUAUUUUAAAUCUUCUUAAAUCUUCCACUAUUAAACUGUAAGAAUUCAUUUUCUGCCAAAUUUCAAAAUUUCUGUUUAUUUUUAGACCCCAUGAAUGCCCUGCAAAUUUUACCAGGAGUGGGUGGAGGUGGUCCUGGAGUUAUUGGCAUUGGACCACGGCCCCCUGGUGCACAAAUGGGUGGUAUGGGGCAAAUACACAUGCAAAUGGGUCAACAUGCCAUGCAGGGAGUAGCGGGAGGCCAGCAGGCUGCAGGGUCUGCUGGGCAGAUGCCGAUGAUGCAGCAGCAGCAACAGCAGCCGUCCAUUCAGUUUCAGCAGUUCCAGUCUCAGCAACAGGCAGGCAUGCAGCCUCAGCAGCCAGCAGCUAUGCAGACUGCCAUGCAAUUCCAACAGAUAAGGCAGCACCAUCAGCACCAUCAGAAUCCACAAAUGCAGCAUCAAAAUCAACAACAGCAGCAGGCGCAGACUCAGCAGCAACAACAGAACCAGGUAAUGGAGAAUGGAAAGAUUAAUGUGAUGAUUGUUUGAAUACUGCAUGAGUGUCUUUUGAAUAAAAGGGUUUGUUUACUUAGAACAGAAAAAUAUCUAAUAAUUUGUCAUAAUUUUACUAACUUUUUU